rnacentral:rRNA from 1 species
UGCGGAGGGGGCGAGCGUUAUUCGGAAUUAUUGGGCGUAAAGGGCGCGUAGGCGGCUGGGCAAGUCAAAGGUGAAAUCCCUCGGCUCAACUGAGGAACUGCCUUUGAAACUGCCUGGCUUGAGGCCGGGAGGGGGUAGCGGAAUUCCCAGUGUAGCGGUGAAAUGCGUAGAUAUUGGGAGGAACACCAGUGGCGAAGGCGGCUACCUGGACCGGUUCUGACGCUGAUGCGCGAAAGCGUGGGUAGCAAACAGG